rnacentral:rRNA from 1 species
GCAAGUCGAGGGGUAUAGUAGCAAUACUAGAGACCGGCGCACGGGUGCGUAACGCGUAUGCAAUCUACCUUAUACAGAGGGAUAGCCCAGAGAAAUUUGGAUUAAUACCUCAUAGCAUAGCAACUUCGCAUGAAGUCACUAUUAAAGUUCCAACGGUAUAAGAUGAGCAUGCGUCCUAUUAGCUAGAUGGUAAGGUAACGGCUUACCAUGGCUACGAUAGGUAGGGGUCCUGAGAGGGAGAUCCCCCACACUGGUACUGAGACACGGACCAGACUCCUACGGGAGGCAGCAGUGAGGAAUAUUGGACAAUGGGCGCAAGCCUGAUCCAGCCAUGCCGCGUGCAGGAAGACGCAUCUAUGGUGUGUAAACUGCUUUUGUACGGGAAGAAACACUCCCUCGUGAGGGAGCUUGACGGUACCGUAAGAAUAAGGAUCGGCUAACUCCGUGCCAGCAGCCGCGGUAAUACGGAGGAUCCAAGCGUUAUCCGGAAUCAUUGGGUUUAAAGGGUCCGUAGGCGGUUUGGUAAGUCAGUGGUGAAAGCCCAUCGCUUAACGAUGGAACGGCCAUUGAUACUGCCAGACUUGAAUUACUGGGAAGUAACUAGAAUAUGUAGUGUAGCGGUGAAAUGCUU